rnacentral:rRNA from 1 species
CCUACGGGAGGCAGCAGUGGGGAAUAUUGCGCAAUGGGCGAAAGCCUGACGCAGCGACGCCGCGUGAGCGAUGAAGGCCUUCGGGUCGUAAAGCUCUGUUGGAGGGGAACGAAAAAAUCGAGGGAACAAUACCCCUCGGUUCUGACGGUACUCCUUCAGAAAGCACUGGCUAACUCCGUGCCAGCAGCCGCGGUAAUACGGAGAGUGCUAGCGUUGUUCGGAAUUAUUGGGCGUAAAGCGCGUGUAGGCGGGGCGGCAUGUCAAGUGUGAAAUCCCUCAG